AGAGUUUGAUCCUGGCUCAGGACGAACGCUAGCGGCGCGCUUAACACAUGCAAGUCGAACGCCAACCCGGGACUUCGGUCCCAGUAGUAGCGUGGCGAACGGGUGAGUAACGCGUAGGUAAUCUGCCCUUAUGUGGGGAAUAAGCUCGGGAAACUGGGUACAAUACCGCAUAUGGUCUUCGAUCUGAUGGAUUGAAGAUUAAAGCCGAAAGGCGCAUAGGGAUGAGCCUGCGUUCUAUUAGCUAGUUGGUAAGGUAAUGGCUUACCAAGGCGACGAUGGAUAGCUGGUCUGAGAGGACAAUCAGCCACACUGGGACUGAGAUACGGCCCAGACUCCUACGGGAGGCAGCAGUGAGGAAUAUUGCACAAUGGGCGAAAGCCUGAUGCAGCGACGCCGCGUGAAGGAUGAAGCACCUCGGUGUGUAAACUUCUGUUGCGAGGGACGAAUGCCUACUUUGGUAGGAGUGACGGUACCUCGCGAGAAAGCUCCGGCUAACUACGUGCCAGCAGCCGCGGUAAUACGUAGGGAGCAAGCGUUGUCCGGAUUUACUGGGCGUAAAGGGCGUGUAGGUGGAAUGAUCAGUCGGUGGUGAAAGGUGUGGGCUCAACCCGCAGAUUGCCUUCGAUACUGUCAUUCUUGAGUGGAGGAGAGGAAAAUGGAAUUCCCGGUGUAGCGGUGGAAUGCGCAGAUAUCGGGAGGAACACCGGCGGCGAAGGCGGUUUUCUGGCCUCCUACUGACACUGAAACGCGAAAGCGUGGGGAGCAAACAGGAUUAGAUACCCUGGUAGUCCACGCUGUAAACGAUGGGUACUAGAUGUCGGAGGAUCGAUCCCUUCCGGUGUCGUAGCAAACGUGAUAAGUACCCCGCCUGGGGAGUACGCUCGCAAGGGUGAAACUCAAAAGGAAUUGACGGGGGCCCGCACAAGCGGUGGAGCAUGUUGUUUAAUUCGAUUCAACGCGAAGAACCUUACCUAGCCUGGAAUCACAGCUGCAAGACGAUGAAAGUCGUUCGCCUUCGAGGGUGCUGUGGAGGUGCUGCAUGGCUGUCGUCAGCUCGUGUCGUGAGAUGUUGGGUUAAGUCCCGCAACGAGCGCAACCCCUAUCAUUAGUUGCCAUCAGGUCCGCAAGGAUGCUGGGAACUCUAAUGAGACUGCCCGGGUUAACCGGGAGGAAGGUGGGGAUGACGUCAAGUCCUCAUGGCCCUUACGGCUAGGGCUACAAACGUGCUACAAUGGGCAGUACAGAGGGUUGCGAUACCGUGAGGUGGAGCCAAUCCCAUAAAGCUGUCCUCAGUUCGGAUUGUAGUCUGCAACUCGACUACAUGAAGUUGGAAUCGCUAGUAAUCGCUGAUCAGCAGGCAGCGGUGAAUACGUUCCCGGGCCUUGUACACACCGCCCGUCACACCAUGGGAGCCGGUAGCGCCCGAAGCCACUAAGCCAACCGCAAGGAGGCAGGUGUCUAAGGUGAGAUCGGUGACUGGGGUGAAGUCGAAACAAGGUA
rnacentral:rRNA from 1 species